rnacentral:rRNA from 1 species
GUGAGGAAUAUUGGGCAAUGGGGGAAACCCUGACCCAGCGACGCCGCGUGAGGGAAGACGGCCUUCGGGUUGUAAACCUCUUUUGUACGGGAAGAAGGAAGUGACGGUACUGUACGAAUAAGUCCCGGCUAACUACGUGCCAGCAGCCGCGGUAAUACGUAGGGGACGAGCGUUGUCCGGAAUUACUGGGCGUAAAGGGCGCGCAGGCUGUGCUGCAAGUCAGCUGUGAAAUGUCUGGGCUUAACCCGGGCAUGUGGUUGAGACUGCAGUGCUGGAGUGCUGUAGAGGCAAGUGGAAUUCCCAGUGUAGCGGUGAAAUGCGUAGAUAUUGGGAAGAACACCGGUGGCGAAGGCGACUUGCUGGGCAGCAACUGACGCUGAGGCGCGAAAGCCAGGGGAGCAAACGGGAUUAGAUACCCUUGUAGUCC